rnacentral:piRNA from 1 species
UCAAAGGCCUGUCCGCCAUUGCUGACUUAGC